rnacentral:rRNA from 1 species
CCUACGGGAGGCAGCAGUGGGGAAUAUUGCACAAUGGGGGAAACCCUGAUGCAGCGACGCCGCGUGAGUGAAGAAGUAUUUCGGUAUGUAAAGCUCUAUCAGCAGGGAAGAAAAUGACGGUACCUGAUUAAGAAGACCCGGCUAACUACGUGCCAGCAGCCGCGGUAAGACGUAGGGGGCAAGCGUUAGCCGGAUUUACUGGGUGUAAAGGGAGCGUAGACGGCAGCACAAGUCUGGAGUGAAAUGCCGGGGCUUAACCCCGGAACUGCUUUGGAAACUGUGCAGCUAGAGUGCAGGAGAGGUAAGUGGAAUUCCUAGUGUAGCGGUGAAAUGCGUAGAUAUUAGGAGGAACACCAGUGGCGAAGGCGGCUUACUGGACUGUAACUGACGUUGAGGCUCGAAAGCGUGGGGAGCAAACAGGAUUAGAUACCCCGGUAGUC